GACGAACGCUGGCGGCGUGCCUAAUACAUGCAAGUAGAACGCACAGUUUAUACCGUAGCUUGCUACACCAUAGACUGUGAGUUGCGAACGGGUGAGUAACGCGUAGGUAACCUGCCUGGUAGCGGGGGAUAACUAUUGGAAACGAUAGCUAAUACCGCAUAAUAUUAAUUAUUGCAUGAUAAUUAAUUGAAAGGUGCAAUUGCACCACUACCAGAUGGACCUGCGUUGUAUUAGCUAGUAGGUGAGGUAACGGCUCACCUAGGCGACGAUACAUAGCCGACCUGAGAGGGUGAUCGGCCACACUGGGACUGAGACACGGCCCAGGCUCCUACGGGAGGCAGCAGUAGGGAAUCUUCGGCAAUGGACGAAAGUCUGACCGAGCAACGCCGCGUGAGCGAAGAAGGUUUUCGGAUCGUAAAGCUCUGUUGUAAGAGAAGAACGGGUGUGAGAGUGGAAAGUUCACACUGUGACGGUAUCUUACCAGAAAGGGACGGCUAACUACGUG
rnacentral:rRNA from 1 species